rnacentral:rRNA from 1 species
GACGGAGGGUGCGAGCGUUAAUCGGAAUUACUGGGCGUAAAGAGCUCGUAGGCGGCUUGGCAAGUCAGAUGUGAAACCCUCAGGCUUAACCUGGGGCCGCCAUCUGAUACUGCUAUGGCUAGAGUCCGGUAGGGGAUCGUGGAAUUCCUGGAGUAGCGGUGAAAUGCACAGAUCUCAGGAGGAACACCAGUGGCGAAGGCGGCGAUCUGGGCCGGUACUGACGCUGAGGAGCGAAAGCGUGGGGAGCAAACAGG